UUUAUCAGUCAAUCCUGCUCCAUUCCUUCCUGGCAGAGUUCAUGAAACACUCAAGGAGUUGUAGGUAAAUGAUGAUCCUGUCUUCAAACAAGGAUCUGUGCGACCUUCCAAAGAACUCGGAAUGUCUUUCAUCACAGAAGGAAGAGUGCUGUGGCCUAUUUUUGAGAUGAUUUAUGGUACUUGGAGAUGAGCUUUGUGUGUCUAGCCUUCGGCCGGCAUUCAUUGACUUCCCCAGCUCUGUUAUGUGAAAAUACGACAAGAAGACAGCCAUCUAUGAACCAAAAAGAUGACCCUCCCCAGACACCAAGUCUGCUCUCUCCUUGAACUCAGACUUCUUAGCAUCAGAACU